rnacentral:pre_miRNA from 1 species
CUGUCGUGCAUUGUAGUUGCAUUGCACGUUCUGGCCAUACUUGUGCAAUGUUUCUGCAGCGCAGCACAG